rnacentral:rRNA from 1 species
GGGUUGUGAGGUUAAGCGACUAAGCGUACACGGUGGAUGCCCUGGCAGUCAGAGGCGAUGAAGGGCGUGCUAAUCUGCGAUAAGCGCCGGUAAGGUGAUAUGAACCGUUAUAACCGGCGAUACCCGAAUGGGGAAACCCAGUGUGAUUCGUCACACUAUCAUUAACUGAAUCCAUAGGUUAAUGAGGCGAACCGGGGGAACUGAAACAUCUAAGUACCCCGAGGAAAAGAAAUCAACCGAGAUUCCCCCAGUAGCGGCGAGCGAACGGGGAGGAGCCCAGAGCCUGAAUCAGCAUGUGUGUUAGUGGAAGCGUCUGGAAAGGCGCGCGAUACAGGGUGACAGCCCCGUACACAAAAGCGUAUGUGCUGUGAGCUCGAUGAGUAGGGCGGGACACGUGGUAUCCUGUCUGAAUAUGGGGGGACCAUCCUCCAAGGCUAAAUACUCCUGACUGACCGAUAGUGAACCAGUACCGUGAGGGAAAGGCGAAAAGAACCCCGGCGAGGGGAGUGAAAAAGAACCUGAAACCGUGUACGUACAAGCAGUGGGAGCACCCUUUGGGGUGUGACUGCGUACCUUUUGUAUAAUGGGUCAGCGACUUAUAUUCUGUAGCAAGGUUAACCGAAUAGGGGAGCCGGAGGGAAACCGAGUCUUAAUUGGGCGUUAAGUUGCAGGGUAUAGACCCGAAACCCGGUGAUCUAGCCAUGGGCAGGUUGAAGGUUGGGUAACACUAACUGGAGGACCGAACCGACUAAUGUUGAAAAAUUAGCGGAUGACCUGUGGCUGGGGGUGAAAGGCCAAUCAAACCGGGAGAUAGCUGGUUCUCCCCGAAAGCUAUUUAGGUAGCGCCUCGUGAAUUCAUCUCCGGGGGUAGAGCACUGUUUCGGCUAGGGGGUCAUCCCGACUUACCAACCCGAUGCAAACUGCGAAUACCGGAGAAUGUUAUCACGGGAGACACACGGCGGGUGCUAACGUCCGUCGUGAAGAGGGAAACAACCCAGACCGCCAGCUAAGGUCCCAAAGUCAUGGUUAAGUGGGAAACGAUGUGGGAAGGCCCAGACAGCCAGGAUGUUGGCUUAGAAGCAGCCAUCAUUUAAAGAAAGCGUAAUAGCUCACUGGUCGAGUCGGCCUGCGCGGAAGAUGUAACGGGGCUAAACCAUGCACCGAAGCUGCGG